UCCGUCGACUGUCUCUCUCUUCUCUUCUCCACAAUCCAAUUCCUCCCCCAAAUUAAUUCCAAAUCCCUAACUUCUCCAUCUCUCUCCCUCCUCUCGUUGACAUUGCAGGCAGCCGCCCCUGCCGCGCCUCACGGAGGCGCCCCCCUCCUACCGUCGUCCCCUUCUCUCGCGGCACCGCCUCCAUCUCUACCAUUCCCCGUUUUCUCGCCCCACUUUCGAGUUCCCGAUUUAGGGAAGGAAACCCUAGCUCGAGACGGACACAGCGGCGCCUCGCCCGUCGGCCACCACCGUCGCCUCCGUGUUUCAUCGUGGUCAGCCCCGCCGUCGUCGCGGAAAGGGAGGGAGCAUCGCCUCCUUUCUUCUCCUUCCGGCAUCUCCGGAUUAGCCGUAACACCGCGGAGUACGCGGGUUUUUCUUCCGUUCAGCGCCGCGCUCUGCCGUUGUCAUCCUCACCUCCGGCGUGAGGCUACCGGCCUCUUGGUUGCUCGCAGCUGCCGCCGCAGCUGCCCUUGGGCCGCCGCUGCACCAGGAGCUGCCGCGGCUGCCCUCGCGGCUUUAUCGUCUUCGGUGGCGUUCGUGGCAGUUUCUUCGGCCCUAGAGCUAAGUCUCCUUAACUCUGCUAACUUAUGAUUUCCUUAGACGAAACCGUCUCUUUAUUGCGUGAUUUAGAAAUUAGGCAAGUUAUGGUACUUCCUCAAGUCUCAUACUAAAGAUUAACUGCAGACUCUUAAGCUUGUUGCCUAGUUUUUGUGACGUUAUCAUUCCAUGAAAUCUGUAUAAGGCGCGAAACUCUAAUGACUUCGGAUUAAUUGGCUGUGGUUAUUAUUUCAUAUUGUUCAUUGUCAUGUGGUCUUAUUUGAUGGUAUUGCUAAGUUCCAAAACUAAAUUUCUUUAGCAUUCAUGGAUCUAUGCCCUUAUGCUAGCUAUGAUGCUCUCUAAAAGUGCAAGUGUUGUGGUACCUCUUGUGACUGUGAUGGAAUGGGGCUACCCUAGUUGUUGCUCACAAAAGCUCCACUUUCUUCUCUAUAUGCGGCUGAAAUUUGUAGUGUGUGGUGGGUAGAACUUGAUGCAUAUGGAGGGGGUCUCUUAUAGGCGCCAAAGUGUGUGACUAUGAGGGAAUUAAAUGGCUGAUUUCCUUGUUCUUAUGCACCGUACCUCUCUUGUCCUUGAUCCCCUUUUGCAGCCUUCUACUUAGGACACUUUGGUGCUAUUUGGAGUACGAGGUCCUUGAGUAUCAAUUCCAUCUUGUCCUCACAUGGUUACCUAGUACUUGGCCAUUAAAUUUGAUUGUUUGCUUGUAGUUAAUGAGAGAAUGGGUGCUGCUAAAAGAGUGUAAGGUUUUCUUUGUCAGUUUUGACUUGGGUUCUACUCCUUUUCUUUCGUUUGGCAGCUCUCGGCUGGUGGGGGAAGGCUGGAAGAGACGCUGCCAUUUCAGGCGAGUCUUGAGUUCUCUUUAGAAAGAGGUGAAGGGGUAGUUGGCUGGAAACGGCCUCCCGCGCCAUGGCUAGCUGCUCUCGGCCCGACGGCCGAUCGGACACGGGAGUGUAGCUUGGCUCGAAGAGAGACACACGUUUUUCCUAUUUGUAUACCCUCAAUUUGUAACAUAGUUACUUAAGUGUAUGUAAUAAAUCUUAUUAGAAACAAAAUCUAAAUUCUUAGUUUUUCUCUUGUUUGAGUGUAUAUUGUUUAAUUAGAGAAGUAAAUAAGAACGCGAAUUCGUUCUA